UAAGUAAGCUUUGAUCCAGAGAUUUCCGAAUGGGGAAACCCAGCAUGAGUUAUGUCAUGUUAUCGAUAUGUGAAUACAUAGCAUAUCAGAAGGCACACCCGGAGAACUGAAACAUCUUAGUACCCGGAGGAAGAGAAAGAAAAUUCGAUUCCCUUAGUAGCGGCGAGCGAAACGGGAAGAGCCCAAACCAACAAGCUUGCUUGUUGGGGUUGUAGGACACUCUAUACGGAGUUACAAAGGACGACAUUAGACGAAUCAUCUGGAAAGAUGAAUCAAAGAAGGUAAUAAUCCUGUAGUCGAAAAUGUUGUCUCUCUUGAGUGGAUCCUGAGUACGACGGAGCACGUGAAAUUCCGUCGGAAUCUGGGAGGACCAUCUCCUAAGGCUAAAUACUCUCUAGUGACCGAUAGUGAACCAGUACCGUGAGGGAAAGGUGAAAAGCACCCCGGAAGGGGAGUGAAAUAGAACCUGAAACCGUGUGCUUACAAGUAGUCAGAGCCCGUUAAUGGGUGAUGGCGUGCCUUUUGUAGAAUGAACCGGCGAGUUACGAUUUGAUGCAAGGUUAAGCAGUAAAUGUGGAGCCGUAGCGAAAGCGAGUCUGAAUAGGGCGUUUAGUAUUUGGUCGUAGACCCGAAACCAGGUGAUCUACCCUUGGUCAGGUUGAAGUUCAGGUAACACUGAAUGGAGGACCGAACCGACUUACGUUGAAAAGUGAGCGGAUGAACUGAGGGUAGCGGAGAAAUUCCAAUCGAACCUGGAGAUAGCUGGUUCUCUCCGAAAUAGCUUUAGGGCUAGCCUCAAGUGAUGAUUAUUGGAGGUAGAGCACUGUUUGGACGAGGGGCCCCUCUCGGGUUACCGAAUUCAGACAAACUCCGAAUGCCAAUUAAUUUAACUUGGGAGUCAGAACAUGGGUGAUAAGGUCCGUGUUCGAAAGGGAAACAGCCCAGACCACCAGCUAAGGUCCCAAAAUAUAUGUUAAGUGGAAAAGGAUGUGGCGUUGCCCAGACAACUAGGAUGUUGGCUUAGAAGCAGCCAUCAUUUAAAGAGUGCGUAAUAGCUCACUAGUCGAGUGACACUGCGCCGAAAAUGUACCGGGGCUAAACAUAUUACCGAAGCUGUGGAUUGUCCUUUGGACAAUGGUAGGAGAGCGUUCUAAGGGCGUUGAAGCAUGAUCGUAAGGACAUGUGGAGCGCUUAGAAGUGAGAAUGCCGGUGUGAGUAGCGAAAGA
rnacentral:rRNA from 1 species